AAUAUUGCACAAUGGGGGAAACCCUGAUGCAGCGACGCCGCGUGAGUGAAGAAGUAUNNNGGUAUNUCAAGCUCUAUCAGCAGNGACNAAAAUGACGGUACCUGACUAAGAAGCCCCGGCUAACUACGUGCCAGCAGCCGCGGUAAUACGUAGGGGGCAAGCGUUAUCAGGAUUUACUGGGUGUAAAGGGAGCGUAGGUGGCAAAUCAAGUCAGAUGUGAAAGCCCGGGGCUCAACCCCGGGAUUGCAUUUGAAACUGGUAUGCUAGAGUGCAGGAGAGGUAAGUGGAAUUCCUAGUGUAGCGGUGAAAUGCGUAGAUAUUAGGAGGAACACCAGUGGCGAAGGCGGCUUACUGGACUGUAACUGACACUGAGGCUCGAAAGCGUGGGGAGCAAACAGG
rnacentral:rRNA from 1 species